CAAAUAUCUUUUUAGGAAUAAUAUCUAAAAUAUAUUCUUUCAAAUUUUUAAAAAAUAAUCCUGCUGUUCAUGUCUAUUAAGUCAUCUCGAAUUAAAUCUGAAUUAAAAUUUUAGCAGAGUUAAAAAAAAAGUUAAAAUACAUUUUUUCCGUUUCUAACUUAUGAACAAAUAAAAAAAAUUGGUGACGAUAGAAAGUAUAUCUGAAAAGAAAAAAUCAAAAUAUUUUUUUUUCUAUAACUAGAGAGCAAAUUAGAAAAGUUAGUGAUAGUAGAAAGGUAUAUUUCAAAAAACAAAACAGUAAUUUUAUAGAAAUAUCGGAUGUUCCUAAGAAUUUAACUCUAGAAGGGUAUAUUUAAAAUAGGGUUAAUUGCAUACAAGUUCCCGCAAAUAUAGUGAAUUGCAAAUAUAAUCCUGUAAAGUUCAACUUUCAUAAGUUAUCCCUGCAAAAGUCUUAAUAUUUCCAGAUAUGUUCCUCUGGUUUGUUACUGUUAGAGAACCGUUAGAAAACUGUUUAUAUUUCUAAUUUUACCAUCACAAAUAUGUCCCUCCAAAAGUUAUUACAGUAUAAUAUAAAAGGGGCAAAAAUGUUAAAAAUUAAUCAGGGUAAAAUAUUUAACCUAUGGUUAACUAAACUUUUUUAACGAAUUCUAAUGACAGGGACAUAUAUGAAAACAUUAGAACUUUUGUAGGGAUAACUUAUGAAAGUUGAACUUUAUAGGGAUAUAUUUGCAAUUCACUAUAUUUGCGGGAACCUGUAUGCAAUUAACCCUUUAAAAUAACAUGAAACUUUAAAAUGGUAAUUUAAUAUUGGCUUCUAAGAAAGAUAAAUGAGACAGUUAAAAAUUUUUGAGGGGUAUUUAAGCAAUUCCCCCAAUAUUUUUAAAGCACUAGUUGCAUACAGCUCCAUGUAAACAUAGCGAAUAGCAAUUAUAUCCUUACAAAGUUUAAUUUUUAACUCUUAUCCCUACAAAAGUUCAGUGAUAUUCAUAUUUAUCCUACUAGUUUGUUAUCGUUAGAGAACUGUUUAUUUUUUAACAGUAGAUAAGUGAAAUGUCAAUUUUGUCAUCACAAAUAUAUCCUUCCAAGAACCCUAACUACUAUAAUCGUGCAGAAAUAUUCCCAAAAAUUUUUUAAUGGUUAUUUUCUUACUCAUCUUCCUCCUCUUUAAAACCCAACUCAAUUUAUUAUUGUUGCAAUCUCUUCUUUCACUCUUUUUCUCCUAAAUAUUUUUUUUAGUAAAAUAAGAAAAAAAAUAGAGAAAAUUGAAUGGGGAAGCAAUACGAGUUCGACGUGGACAAAGCAACACGCGUCGUGGAUGAAUGAGGACGGAGAAAUUCUAGUUACGAGUUCGAAACUAGCAUGAAAGAUAGAGAGGAAGAGAAAGAAGAAGAAAAGUUUUCAUUCCUAGGGUUUUGAUUGAGAGAAAAAGGUAUAAUAUAAGAGGGAUAAAAAUAUCAAUUCACUUUAUUGACUAACUAGGGUUAAAUAUUUUAUCUGUGGUUAACUAAAAUUUUCUAACGGAUUCUAACGGUAGGGACAUAGUUAAAAACAUUAAGACUUUUAUAGAAAUAGCAUAACAUAGUUGAACUUUGUAGGAUAUGUUUGUAAUUCGCUAUGUUUACAGGGAGCCGUAUGCAAUUAACCUUUUUUAAAAUCG
rnacentral:lncRNA from 1 species